CCUACGGGGGACAGCAGUGAGGAAUAUUGGUCAAUGGCCGGAAGGCUGAACCAGCCAUGCCGCGUGAAGGUCAGUGCCCUAUGGGCGUUAAACUUCUUUUGUGCGGGAGCAAUAAUGGUCACGUGUGGCCAGACGAGAGUACCGUACGAAUAAGCAUCGGCUAACUCCGUGCCAGCAGCCGCGGUAAUACGGGGGAUGCAAGCGUUAUCCGGAUUUAUUGGGUUUAAAGGGUGCGUAGGCUGUGAGGUAAGUCAGCGGUGAAAUGCCGGGGCUCAACCCCGGAACUGCCAUUAUGACUAUGUAUCUAGAGUAAUGGAGAGGAUAGCGGAAUACCCAGUGUAGAGGUGAAAUUCGUAGAUAUUGGGUAGAACACCGGUGGCGAAGGCGGCUAUCUGGCCAUUUACUGACGCUGAGGCUCGAAAGCAUGGGGAUCAAACAGGAUUAGAUACCCUUGUAGUC
rnacentral:rRNA from 1 species